AUUCAUUUAGUAUAAAAAGUAUACUAAGCUUCCAACUUAAAGGUUAAAUUCAUUAAAUGAAUA
rnacentral:tRNA from 1 species